rnacentral:rRNA from 1 species
AAAUUGAAGAGUUUGAUCAUGGCUCAGAUUGAACGCUGGCGGCAGGCCUAACACAUGCAAGUCGAGCGGUAGCACAGAGAGCUUGCUCUCGGGUGACGAGCGGCGGACGGGUGAGUAAUGUCUGGGAAACUGCCUGAUGGAGGGGGAUAACUACUGGAAACGGUAGCUAAUACCGCAUAACGUCGCAAGACCAAAGUGGGGGGACCUUCGGGCCUCAUGCCAUCAGAUGUGCCCAGAUGGGAUUAGCUAGUAGGUGGGGUAACGGCUCACCUAGGCGACGAUCCCUAGCUGGUCUGAGAGGAUGACCAGCCACACUGGAACUGAGACACGGUCCAGACUCCUACGGGAGGCAGCAGUGGGGAAUAUUGCACAAUGGGCGCAAGCCUGAUGCAGCCAUGCCGCGUGUGUGAAGAAGGCCUUCGGGUUGUAAAGCACUUUCAGCGGGGAGGAAGGCGAUAAGGUUAAUAACCUUGUCGAUUGACGUUACCCGCAGAAGAAGCACCGGCUAACUCCGUGCCAGCAGCCGCGGUAAUACGGAGGGUGCAAGCGUUAAUCGGAAUUACUGGGCGUAAAGCGCACGCAGGCGGUCUGUCAAGUCGGAUGUGAAAUCCCCGGGCUCAACCUGGGAACUGCAUUCGAAACUGGCAGGCUAGAGUCUUGUAGAGGGGGGUAGAAUUCCAGGUGUAGCGGUGAAAUGCGUAGAGAUCUGGAGGAAUACCGGUGGCGAAGGCGGCCCCCCUGGACAAAGACUGACGCUCAGGUGCGAAAGCGUGGGGAGCAAACAGGAUUAGAUACCCUGGUAGUCCACGCCGUAAACGAUGUCGAUUUGGAGGUUGUGCCCUUGAGGCGUGGCUUCCGGAGCUAACGCGUUAAAUCGACCGCCUGGGGAGUACGGCCGCAAGGUUAAAACUCAAAUGAAUUGACGGGGGCCCGCACAAGCGGUGGAGCAUGUGGUUUAAUUCGAUGCAACGCGAAGAACCUUACCUGGUCUUGACAUCCACAGAACUUUCCAGAGAUGGAUUGGUGCCUUCGGGAACUGUGAGACAGGUGCUGCAUGGCUGUCGUCAGCUCGUGUUGUGAAAUGUUGGGUUAAGUCCCGCAACGAGCGCAACCCUUAUCCUUUGUUGCCAGCGGUCCGGCCGGGAACUCAAAGGAGACUGCCAGUGAUAAACUGGAGGAAGGUGGGGAUGACGUCAAGUCAUCAUGGCCCUUACGACCAGGGCUACACACGUGCUACAAUGGCAUAUACAAAGAGAAGCGACCUCGCGAGAGCAAGCGGACCUCAUAAAGUAUGUCGUAGUCCGGAUUGGGAGUCUGCAACUCGACUCCAUGAAGUCGGAAUCGCUAGUAAUCGUAGAUCAGAAUGCUACGGUGAAUACGUUCCCGGGCCUUGUACACACCGCCCGUCACACCAUGGGAGUGGGUUGCAAAAGAAGUAGGUAGCUUAACCUUCGGGAGGGCGCUUACCACUUUGUGAUUCAUGACUGGGGUGAAGUCGUAACAAGGUAACCGUAGGGGAACCUGCGGUUGGAUCACCUCCUUACCUUAAAGAA